rnacentral:rRNA from 1 species
AGAGAGAGACAUGCGCGCAUAUCAAUAAGCGGAGGAAAAGAAACUAACAAGGAUUCCCUUAGUAACGGCGAGUGAAGCGGGAAGAGCUCAAAUUUGAAAUCUUCAAGGUUUUACCUUGACGAAUUGUAGUUUAAAGAAGUGUUUUCUGCUGAAGUUUUGGUAAAAGUUCUUUGGAAUAGGACAUCAUAGAGGGUGAGAAUCCCGUAUUUGACCAUUAUUUUCAGCUUUGUGAUACACUUUCAAAGAGUCGGAUUGUUUGGGAAUGCAGUCCAAAAUGGGUGGUAAAUUUCAUCUAAAGCUAAAUAUUGGCGAGAGACCGAUAGCGAACAAGUACCGUGAGGGAAAGAUGAAAAGAACUUUGAAAAGAGAGUUAAACAGUACGUGAAAUUGUCAAAAGGGAAGCGUUUGACACCAGUGUUGUUUUCUCGAAAAUCAAUUAAAAAUGGCUCGAUUUUGUAUUGCUUGAGACCUUAAAAGCUCACUGUACAUUUUUCGUGUCUUUUUAAUGCACUUUUCGUUUAACAAGUCAACAUCAGUUUCUUUUGUUGUAAAAGGGUCAUUGGAAGGUGGCUUUCUUUUCGGAGAAAGUGUUUAUAGCCUUUGGCCUCUGCAAUCGGAAGAGACUGAGGUCUGCAGCGUAGACUCUUCGGGGUUAGAUACAUUUGUGCUAAGUUAUAGCUUUUUAUAGACAACUUGUUGACUAUAAUUAGUCUUGUAGCUUACUCGCUUAUGCUAUUUUACCUACGCUUAGGAUGUUGAAGAUGUAGCACAUCAU